UUUAGCAGGGUAAGGGUUAAUUAGUAAACUUUUGGAAUGGAAAAUAGCAUGAAAAAUAAUAACUUAGAAAGCUUUUGUGAUGGAAACUAUAGUCACAGAAGUUUUGGGAGGUAUUUCUUGUGAACAUAAAAUAUUUUAAUGAAUAAGUAUUUUUAUGGCCAAUAACUACAAUAAACUUAAUUAGAUAGGUAACAGAACAAAUUGGAUUAAAACAUGAAUUGUAAUGCAACUUGUAUAUAUUAUAAUGUAUUCAUGCACCUUGCAGAAAAGUUCAUUUGAACUAAUUAAAAAUUUAUUGAAAUAAUUAUCAUUACUUUUUCUCCUAGAGUUACACCAAAGAGAACAUCACUAACAGUAGUUGCAUAGAUAUAUAAUAUUGCAAUUGUUUCCACCUGGCUAUUAAGGGGUGAUAAAUUAAUCUACUGCAGUGUACAUGUUGCUUAUCUCACAACAGGAGCUUACCACAGACUGAUAAGAUCUUGUCUGCUUUAUAUUUAGAAACUCUACCAAGAGGUCAGCCAAUGAAAAUAAAGCCAGUGAACUACUUCUGGGGGCUGUGCAUGUACCACAAAAAGUAAUCCUUAACUUUUUGGGUUUUUUUAUCAGAGUAAUCUUUAAAAUUUAUGUGUAUCUAAAUGGAAUAAAAUCUUACUCUAGUAAGAAAUAGUUUCAACAUCCUACAUGUAUCUUUCAUUAGCUGACUGUAAAUGACACAUCUGCCCAAGAAUAUCAAAAAUUCAAAUCUAAACAGGAAGUUCUAUGAGAGCAGGAUGGAGUUAUUUCACUACAAAGAAGUUUAUUUAUAUAGCUCUUUGUUUACUAUGUGCAGUUUAUAUUUAACAUGGAAGUUUAAGAGUGAUGAAAAGAAUACAAAUGGUAUAGCACCAUAUGUGUAUAUUAAGUAUGGCACACAUGAAUGAAUUGGGACCUUAUCAACAUAUUGUGUUGAAAGAAGACUUAACGAAUCCAGCAGUUCAAAAACAUGUUUUGCAGUGAGACGAAUGGUGACAGUGGCUUUGUGGCAGUUAGUAAAAACUGUGGCAUUUUACAUUGAUGAUGGCUACCAUUUACAGAAAAUUUCUCAACCAAUAGUGACAUUCAAUUGAAAGUAAUAGCAUAUCUUACACUGACUAUACAUCAGAAUGUUGUUGAAAGAAGCCAUGGCAAAAAGUGGAAAAUACUGAUCAGUAUACUUCAAUGACCUUGGAACUGAGUAGAAAAUGGUGACAUUUUAGCACCAUAUUGUGUGUAUACUUUUUCUUGCAUCCGCACAGUCCGGUCAGGAUCCAUGCUGUUCACUAAUGGUUUCUAUGGUUGCAAUAGCAUUUGAAAGCGAACAGCAUGGAUCCUGACCAAAUCAAGCUGAUGCGCAGGCUGGUCUGUAUCCAUGCUGAUCGCAAAGCCAAUAUGUUGGUUUUCUCCUGGCACGGCUCAUAUAUAAAUUUGUUUCAUGCAUGUAAAUAAUAUUAUGUUUUGCUUAUGGUAUUUUGUCAGCACAGGUAAUGAAACACUAAAAAAACAUAAAAUAUUUUGUUAGUGUUUUGUUUAAAUUUGUAACCUUGCUCUUUUGCAUAUCAUAUGUUUUGUUGGUAUUUUGUUAGCAGUGUUUUGUUAGUGUUUUCUUUAGCUCAUAUAAUGAAACACUAAUAAAACAUUAAGUAUUCUGUUAGUGUUUUGUAUAAGCCUAAUUUGCAUAUCAUGUUUUGUUGGUAUUUCGUUAGCAGUGUUUUGUUAGUGUUUUGUUAGUGUUUUGUUACCUCAUUUGCAUGUCAUUUGCUAUACUAAUAAAACAUCAUCAAAACA
rnacentral:lncRNA from 1 species